rnacentral:rRNA from 1 species
UCCGCCCGGGUACUACGAGCCGUAGCUUAAAACCCAAGAGACUUGGCGGUGCUCUACACCCACUUAGAGGAGCCUGUUCUAUAAUCGAUGAUCCACGAUUCACCUCACCACCCCUUGCCAAAUCCGCCUAUAUACCGCCGUCGCCAGCCCACCUUUUGAGAGGUUAACAGUAAGCUCAAGGGUAAAGCCACUAAUACGUCAGGUCAAGGUGUAGCAGAUGGGGUGGAAAGAAAUGGGCUACAUUUUCUAAUUUAGAAUAAACGGAAAAUCAUCAUGAAACUUGAUCAGAAGGAGGAUUUAACAGUAAAAAGAAAACAGCAAGUUCUUUUGAAGCUGGCCCUAGAGCGCGUACACACCGCCCGUCACCCUCUUCGACUCAACAGGUAUAUUUACAUAAGACCGCCUUAAAGAACCUAGAAGAGGUAAGUCGUAACAUGGUAAGCGUACCGGAAGGUGCGCUUGGA